rnacentral:rRNA from 1 species
GAUGAACGCUGGCGGCGUGCCUAAUACAUGCAAGUCGAGCGAACAGAUAAGGAGCUUGCUCCUUUGACGUUAGCGGCGGACGGGUGAGUAACACGUGGGUAACCUACCUAUAAGACUGGGAUAACUUCGGGAAACCAGAGCUAAUACCGGAUAAUAUUUCGAACCGCAUGGUUCGAUAGUGAAAGAUGGUUUUGCUAUCACUUAUAGAUGGACCCGCGCCGUAUUAGCUAGUUGGUAAGGUAACGGCUUACCAAGGCGACGAUACGUAGCCGACCUGAGAGGGUGAUCGGCCACACUGGAACUGAGACACGGUCCAGACUCCUACGGGAGGCAGCAGUAGGGAAUCUUCCGCAAUGGGCGAAAGCCUGACGGAGCAACGCCGCGUGAGUGAUGAAGGUCUUCGGAUCGUAAAACUCUGAUAUUAGGGAAGAACAUACGUGUAAGUAACUGUGCACGUCUUGACGGUACCUAAUCAGAAAGCCACGGCUAACUACGUG